rnacentral:rRNA from 1 species
GAUGAACGCUGGCGGCGUGCCUAAUACAUGCAAGUAGAACGCUGAAGGAGGAGCUUGCUCUUCUGGAUGAGUUGCGAACGGGUGAGUAACGCGUAGGUAACCUGCCUGGUAGCGGGGGAUAACUAUUGGAAACGAUAGCUAAUACCGCAUGACAACAGUUAUUGCAUGAUAACUGUUUAAAAGGGGCAACUGCUCCACUACCAGAUGGACCUGCGUUGUAUUAGCUAGUUGGUGAGGUAACGGCUCACCAAGGCGACGAUACAUAGCCGACCUGAGAGGGUGAUCGGCCACACUGGGACUGAGACACGGCCCAGACUCCUACGGGAGGCAGCAGUAGGGAAUCUUCCGCAAUGGACGGAAGUCUGAACGAGCAACGCCGCGUGAGUGAAGAAGGUUUUCGGAUCGUAAAGAUCUGUUGUAAGAGAAGAACGAGUGUGAGAGUGGAAAGUUCACACUGUGACGGUAUCUUACCAGAAAGGGACGGCUAACUACGUG